rnacentral:lncRNA from 1 species
UGAGUUUAUGAAACUCAUCUUUGCUAGCACAUUGUCAAGGCAUAGCACUCCCAAUCCUUAAAGAAAGAUUUUCUCAUUCAUUGGUGUGGAUCACCAUUAGAAGCUGCACAAGGAUUCCUUGGACAACUUUGGUUUGUAACAACCGGGCUGAGAUGGUUGAGCUUUUUGAAGGCUGAUUUGGUUAUUUAAUAAAAGAUUCAUCAACCUUUGUUAUUUAGGUAAAGUGAUAUAAUCAUAUACUUUUUAUUUUAAUUUAAUUAUGUACUCAAUUUGGCAUGAAAGAAAUCAUAGGAAGGUGAGGCGUAAUUUAAUUUUUUUAAAUUUAUUUUCACUGCGUUUUAUUUGUAUAUGAUGCAUGAUCAGCCCUCACCCAAUAGUGGUAUUAGAGCCCUUUUCAUGCCAUUUGAGUGCUUGUUCAUGUUCAAUGGAUGCUUGAUUAACAAAUAGUUGUUUUGUAUUUUGAUUUUGGUGCAAUUUUGUUAAAAUCGAUUUUUCAAAAAUCUGCUUUGCCAAUUUCAUUUAUUCUCUCCAACAACCUUUGUACCCUCCUUUAAUCUUAUCCGAACUUAUUUGAAUCAUAUAUAGACUUGACUAAUGUGUGUUUUACAUUGUGCUAAGGAAGCACAAGAGAAAGGGACACCAUAAGGCACGAUUUUGGAGGCUGUCUUGCAAGGCAGCAAACACACGGUUUUAGGUGCAAAAUUUUGCUUCUAUUUGUGCUUAAUUUCCAGCAAAUAAAAUAUGUAAUUGUUACACAUUUAUUGCUCGAUAUGUGGACAACAAAAUCAUGAUAUGUUCAUGAUUGAAUAGGCUGAUUUGAAGCAACAAAUUGGAGCAAAAAGUGAAAGCAGUCC